rnacentral:rRNA from 1 species
AACGAACGCUGGCGGUAUGCUUUACACAUGCAAGUCGAACGAACUUAGGCCUAGCUUGCUAGGAACGGUUAGUGGCAAACGGGUGAGUAACGCGUGGGAACCUACCUUGUAGUACGGAACAGUCCUGGGAAACUGGGUUUAAUACCGUAUACGCUCUACGGAGGAAAGAUUCAUCGCUAUAAGAUGGGCCCGCGUUAGAUUAGCUUGUUGGUGGGGUAAUGGCCUACCAAGGCCACGAUCUAUAGCUGGUUUGAGAGGAUGACCAGCCACACUGGGACUGAGACACGGCCCAGACUCCUACGGGAGGCAGCAGUGGGGAAUAUUGGACAAUGGACGAAAGUCUGAUCCAGCAAUACCGCGUGAGUGAUGAAGGCCUUAGGGUUGUAAAACUCUUUCAGCAGGGAAGAUAAUGACGGUACCUGCAAAAGAAGCACCGGCUAACUCCG